rnacentral:tRNA from 1 species
GACCGCGUAGCUCAGUUGGCAGAGCAUUGGGCUAGUAUUCCAAAGGUCGUAAGUUCGAUUCCCGCCGUGGCCG